rnacentral:misc_RNA from 1 species
GAUGAAGAACGCAGUGAAAUGCGAUAAGUAAUGUGAAUUGCAGAAUUCAGUGAAUCAUCGAAUCUUUGAACGCACCUUGCGCUCUUUGGUAUUCCGAAGAGCAUGCCUGUUUGAGUGUCAUGAAAAUAUCAACCUUGACUUGGGUUUUGUGCUCUAGUCUCGGCUUGGAAUUGGGUGCUUGCCGCUUUUACGAGCGGCUCACCUUAAAUGUAUUAGCUGGAUCUGUCUUUGAGACUUGGUUUGACUUGGCGUAAUAAGUAUUUCGCUAAGGACAUUCUUCGGAGUGGCCUCGUUUCUAGGACGCUUGUCCGCUUUCCAAUACAAGUUCCACCUCGUGGACAUGACUUUUUAUUAUCUGGCCUCAAAUCAGGUAGGACUACCCGCUGAACUUAAGCAUAUCAAUAAGCUGAGGA